UCUGCAGCCCUGUGGAGCCGCCCCUUGCAAAGACUGUUGCCUGAGGGUACGACAGGGCUGCACAAAGCAACUCAAAGAAUGAAAAGGCGUGACUCCUGGAGGCUCAGGAGCUUCACGUGCGAUGUUCCUUGGACAGACCCCUGCCUUCCACGGUGGUGAUCGUCUCUCUCUGUAGCCGUCACCUUUCUUGAGGCAGGUAGAGGAAAACCAGGCAGCCAGAUAUUGUUUGCAUCAGGACAAGGUCUUCCUGUCAGACACUGUCAGCUGUCACAGUA
rnacentral:snoRNA from 1 species